CAUCCUUUCUGCCUUUCUACCGGCCCCUGCGGGUGUCAUGGAGGCCGUAGUGGUGGAGGACGAGCAUGGAGGGGAAUGAUGAGCCCUGAGCUUUCUCUUGCAGUGAGUGUGAAGGGUUUUAAAAGGGGCUUUUGGGAUGGUGCACAAUACACGAUGUUGGCUCCAGAAAGUCUAAGGGCUGCAUGUUUGUUUGCCAAGCAAAUCUUAGCAGAGAAGGCGUGAAGAUGCAGUUUCCUCACAUAAUGAUGUAUGUAAGAAUAAAGUAUCACAUCCUCAGAAAGAUGGUGUACGUGUCAGCCAUGUGGUGUGCCUUUCUGAUUAAUAUACCCACUGGUACAACACGGUGGAAAGAACCCAGACCAACUUUACUUGAUGCUGUGGUGUCACUUCCUUCAUGAUGAUGGAGCCUCUUUGGAACCAUGACACUAUGGGACCGAUGUGCAGGGAUUUCUAUUUCUCUGCUGCUUCCCCACGAGGAGAAGGGUUGAGAAUAAGAUUCUAGGGGACUGCAAGUUGUUAACUCAUUAGUAAGGAUCUGCCAGGUGUAACAAUAUGAGUGGCAUGCAGUCCAGCAGUAGAGUAUUUUUAUUACAGGUGCUGGUUUCUGAACAGAAGAGUUUCAAAGUGCUGUCAUUCUAGAGCAGUUUUCCUGCAUGUACAAAAGAAUAUAGCAAACUGUCAGAAAUGACGAGUCUGUGUAAUUUUUUGUGGCCACUAACAGGGCCAAAGCAAAGAUUAAAGAAUUUUCUUACCUUCAA